GCCCUGAGUCCACUUCUUCGUCUCGCUAUCUGUCACUCAGUCAAUUCUCAGGAAAGUUCUGCAGGAAUCUCUCCCAUUACUUGAAACCUAGGUCAAGAGAGAGGGGGAGGGCCGAGGUCUAAGAAGAGUGUGACAAAUCUGAGACUGCCCCUCAAGUAGGACAGUCACCACAGAGCAGCUUCAGCCUAUAUAUGUCUACAGGAAGAGGGUGCCCAAGAGCAGCCUGGACACAGAAACUCAACUGAGAACAAGACACUGGCUCAUGCUUGGUCAAUACCCCACUUCACUGUCAGGACUCCAAAAUCCCAGUUGCCAGGAGCAACCAGUUAGGGAAACCUGUGAUUGUCAGUUCCUGUCCCUCCAGGAGCCCCACCCUCAGGGUGACCUUCCUUACCCCCUCUCCCCAGACUUUUCAGGGCACUGGUGUUUUAUGAGUCCCUCUUCUACCUGUGUCUGCUCCCUUGUCCUGGACAUAGAGACCUAGGAGGAAGAGAGGGUAAGAGAGAAGAAAGAAUGUCUUGUUUGGCCACCAGGAAAGGAAGGGAGUAGAAACCCCUGGGGUGGGGUAGGCACAUACAGAGAGGACCUCUCCUUUGCAGGCUGCUUUUUUUCUGGUGCCAGCCCCUUCCCCAAACUCAGAGCCCCACCUCUUGUGUCUUUGGUUGCCCCAGCCAAUGCCACCCCCAUCCUGGGCACAGUCACACUCUCUGUGCAGUGAGAGGGACACAGAUUUUCCUACCCGAUGGAACCUGUCCCACUUUUCCCCCCACAGAGGGGGCUCAAGCCACACUGCCCUGUUUGCUGCCAUGAGGCCCCCCCCCAGCAGUACCCCAGGGGCGGGCCCGAUGCCCACUGUACAUGAGGCUGCAUGACGGG
rnacentral:lncRNA from 1 species